CAGCACUCUAACCACAUCACAGGAUUGAUGCCGUCCAUCUACAAGAUGGUCUUACAAAUGGAACCCCAAAUGAGUUCAAUUCAUAACUUCUACGAAGGACCCCUGGACUGACCUGCUGGCUCUUUGAGUGGCCUAGGGAGUUCCCCUCUGGAGGAUGCUACAACUGCAGGGACCCUUUUUCACCCUUGUCCAGCAGGAAGUAGUUACAGCUCUCAUCACCCAGUCCCCAACAGCAGUUGUGGUGUCCUAUGAAGAGGGGAUAUUGAGAGAAGAGGCCAGCUGGACUUCCUGGGUCGACUGGGGACUUGGGGAAAUUUUCUGUUUUACAAGAGGAUUGUAAAAUACACCAUUUAGGAGCUUUCCUGUCUUUCAGGAGGAUUGCAAAAUGCACCAAUCAGCACUCUGUAAAAUGCACUAAUCAGCACGCUGUAAAAGUCACCAAUCAGCGCUCUGUAAAAUACACCAAUCAGCAGGAUUCUAAAAGUAGCCAAUUGUGGGGAGGAUCAAAAAAAGGGCACUCUGAUAGGAUGGAAAUGGAAUAUGGGAAGGGCCAGUAAGGGAAUAAUAGAUGAGCACCCCAGCCAUCAGUGACAACCCACUAGGGUCCCCUUUCAUGCUAUGGAAGCUUUGUCCUUUUGCUCUUCACAAUAAACCUUGCUACUGCUCACUCUUUGGGUCCGUGCCAUCUCUAAGAACUGUAACACUCACCUCAAAGGUCUGCGGCUCCAUUCUUGAAGUCAGGGAGACCACGAACCCACCAGCAGAAACCAACUCCAGACACACUGUCAUCCCUUAAUCUCCCAUUUUCCUUGGAGUGACAUCAUUCACUGUUUUCCCUGGACAUCUCCCUGUCAUAUCAUCAUCAUUUUUUUUUUUUUAACCUAGAUUGACUCAGUCACCUUUUACUGUGUUCCCUGAAGUGAUUUUUUGGUCAACUGUUUUCCUUGAACUUAUUUGGUCAUGGACUCUUUUGCCUAGACUGACUGCGUCAUAGACUGUUUUCCCUGGCAUGAUUCAGCACUCAACUGUUUACCCUGGACAGAUUGCUCAUCAACUCUUUUUCCUGGAUUAACUCAGCAUUGACUGAGUUCCCUGAAUUGACUCGGUACUCAGUUCCUUUUCCUGGUUUGACUAUGUACUCAUUUCCCUAGACUGACUCAGUGCUCAACUCAUUUCCCUGGACUGACUCAGCAGGUCCUCAACUGUGUGCCCUGGACUGUGUGGUACUGGACUACUUCUUGGAUUGAGUCAGUCAUGGACUGUGUUUUCCAGACCAUGGGCAUCUUUGGCUGUCAUCCACCCUCAUCAACUGUUUUCCUUGGAGUGACUAUGUCUUUCACUAUUUUCCACAGUGGGGGCAUCUUCAUGCCAUCCUGUUAUCAG
rnacentral:lncRNA from 1 species